rnacentral:tRNA from 1 species
GCCCGGGUGGUGGAAUUGGUAUACACGCACGACUUAAAAUCGUGUUCCGUAAGGAUUGAGGGUUCGAGUCCCUCCCCGGGCA